rnacentral:piRNA from 1 species
GCUCAACAUGACUCACCUGCAAUGCUGCCU